rnacentral:rRNA from 1 species
GGGGAAUUUUGGACAAUGGGGGAAACCCUGAUCCAGCAAUGCCGCGUGAGUGAAGAAGGCCUUCGGGUUGUAAAGCUCUUUUGUCAGGGAAGAAACACCGGCUCUAACACAGUCCGGGAAUGACGGUACCUGAAGAAUAAGCACCGGCUAACUACGUGCCAGCAGCCGCGGUAAUACGUAGGGUGCAAGCGUUAAUCGGAAUUACUGGGCGUAAAGCGUGCGCAGGCGGUUAUACAAGACAGGCGUGAAAUCCCCGGGCUUAACCUGGGAAUGGCGCCUGUGACUGUAUGGCUAGAGUGUGUCAGAAGGGGGUAGAAUUCCACGUGUAGCAGUGAAAUGCGUAGAUAUGUGGAGGAAUACCAAUGGCGAAGGCAGCCCCCUGGGAUAACACUGACGCUCAUGCACGAAAGCGUGGGGAGCAAACAGGAUUAGAUACCCUGGUAGUCCACGCCCUAAACGAUGCUCACUAGUUGUUCGGGAUUUACAUCCUGAGUAACGUAGCUAACGCGUGAA